rnacentral:rRNA from 1 species
AUGGCGAUGGCAUCGCGCGCCGUCCUCCUCUCCCGUCUAUCCCCACUCCCCGCUGCGGCCUCUCGCUUCCUCCUCCGCCCUCUCGCCGCCGCCGCCAGCCUCCUCCCGGCUGCGACCUCGCCCGUCCCGGCGGCGGCGCGCGGGGCGGUGCGGUGCUUCGCCACACAGCCGGCGACGUCGUCGCUGCGGGACUCCUCGCCCAACUGGAGCAACCGGCCGCCCAAGGAGACUAUCCUCCUCGAUGGGUGCGACUUCGAACACUGGCUGGUAGUCAUGGAGCCGCCCGCGGGCGACGCUGCUAAUCCUGAUGUCACACGCGACGAGAUCAUCGAUAGCUACAUCAAGACCCUCGCCCAGGUCGUCGGAAGUGAGCAAGAAGCUAGGCAGAAGAUAUACUCGGUGUCAACUCGUCAUUACUUUGCUUUUGGUGCCCUUGUAUCUGAAGAACUCUCAUAUAAACUUAAAGAGCUGCCCAAAGUCCGUUGGGUUCUCCCUGAUUCAUACCUUGAUGUCAGAAAUAAGGACUAUGGAGGGGAACCUUUUAUAGGUGGGGAAGCUGUUCCUUAUGAUCCUAAAUAUCAUGAGGAAUGGGUGAGGAACAAUGCCCGUGCCAAUGAAAGAUCUCGGCGCAGUGAUAGGCCCCGCAACUUUGAUAGGUCAAGGAACUUUGAGAGGAGAAGGGAGAACAUGCAGAACUUCCAAAACAGAGAUGCACCUCCUGGGCAGCAGGGUUUCAACGGCCCUCCACCUGGCCAGAACCCGGGCAGCAUGCCUCCACCUCCACCGCCUAGUCAGAACCGUGGCAACGUGCCUCCACCAUAUACUCCAGGUGGUCCAUCAAAUUACCAGCCCCAAAUGCAGAACCCACAGGCAGCAUACACACCGGGUGGUGCACCCCGAAUGCUGAACCCACAGACAGGGCACACACCGGGCGGUGCACCCCAAAUGCCAAACCCACAGACAGGGUACACACCGGGCAGGGCCCCCCACAUGCCGAACCAACAGGCGGGCUACGUCCCCAGUGGUGCUUCUAAUUAUCAGCAAGGUGGUCAAGCUGGCUACCAAGGUGGACCUGCUGGGCAUCAGGGAGGUAACCAAGUUUAUCCAGGAGGCAACUUGCCUGGCGGCCCUGGACCAGCACACCCAGGCAGCAGUCCUGGAUAUCAAGGUGCCAAUGCACCCCCUCGUGAAGGUUAUGGCUAUCCUGGCGGCUACAACAGCAGUGCGCCAGGUGGCUAUAAUCAGCAGUAA